rnacentral:rRNA from 1 species
UUUCGAAUCAUUCAACAAUGGGCGGAAGCCUGAUGGUGCGACGCCGCGUGAGGGAUGAAGGCCUUCGGGUUGUAAACCUCUGUCACCGGGGAAGAAACGCUUCAAGUUAACAGCUUGAAGCCUGACUUAACCCGGAGAGGAAGCAGUGGCUAACUCUGUGCCAGCAGCCGCGGUAAUACAGAGACUGCAAGCGUUAUUCGGAUUCACUGGGCGUAAAGGGUGCGCAGGCGGUUGGGUGUGUCAGAUGUGAAAUCCCGAGGCUUAACCUCGGAACUGCGUCUGAAACUACUCGACUAGAGUACUGGAGAGGGUAACGGAAUUCACGGUGUAGCAGUGAAAUGCGUAGAUAUCGUGAGGAACACCAGAGGCGAAGGCGGUUACCUGGACAGUUACUGACGCUCAGGCACGAAAGCAUGGGGAGCAAAAGGGAUUAGAUACCCAUGUAGUCCCUGAGCGGGCUGGCAAGGCGCAU